AGAACGAACGCUGGCGGCAGGCUUAACACAUGCAAGUCGAGCGCCCCGCAAGGGGAGCGGCAGACGGGUGAGUAACGCGUGGGAAUCUACCCAUCUCUACGGAAUAACUCAGGGAAACUUGUGCUAAUACCGUAUACGCCCUUCGGGGAAGAUUUAUCGGAGAUGGAUGAGCCCGCGUUGGAUUAGCUAGUUGGUGGGGUAAAGGCCUACCAAGGCGACGAUCCAUAGCUGGUCUGAGAGGAUGAUCAGCCACAUUGGGACUGAGACACGGCCCAAACUCCUACGGGAGGCAGCAGUGGGGAAUAUUGGACAAUGGGCGCAAGCCUGAUCCAGCCAUGCCGCGUGUGUGAUGAAGGCCUUAGGGUUGUAAAGCACUUUCACCGGAGAAGAUAAUGACGGUAUCCGGAGAAGAAGCCCCGGCUAACUUCGUGCCAGCAGCCGC
rnacentral:rRNA from 1 species